GACGAACGCUGGCGGCGUGCUUAACACAUGCAAGUCGAGCGGUAAGGCCCUUUCGGGGGUACACGAGCGGCGAACGGGUGAGUAACACGUGGGUGACCUGCCCGUCAGCUCUGGGAUAAGCCUGGGAAACCGGGUCUAAUACUGGAUAUGACUCCAUGACGCAUGUUGUGGGGUGGAAAGCCUUGUGCGGCUGAGGAUGGGCCCGCGGCCUAUCAGCUUG
rnacentral:rRNA from 1 species